UUAUAGGGUUGGCCCUUUCCAUUUCUUUGUUUUGAGAACAACGACAAGUUGCUCGUUUUUGGAACAGAAGGAGAAGUUGGUUGUGCAACGGGAGACAAACGACGAGUUGUUUUGGGUUGAGCAAAUUCUAGAUCCUCGGCCUCUUCCGCUAAGUUGUCUAAUCGACGGAUCCACUCGACAUCUGCGGCAGCUACGGCGACUCCUCCCCCUGUACUUCUGCUAUGGUUCUCUCGUUAAGUUUGCAGGACUUCAUUCUCCGAGCUCGAGUGCUGAAGCUGUAUGGGCAAGCACUAAGGACUUCAAGAAGAGCACCUGGUGACGCUAGAGUGGUGAUUGCCAGAAAAAUGCAGUGUCCGGGUUCAGGGCUAGUUUGCCUCUGCUUUUUCUGUUUCUGAAGAUGUAUGUUUCCGCGUGGACUGCAAAAUAGUAUCUAAAAGGUUGACUUAAUCAGAAUUUGACUUUGCAAUUUUA